AGACGUCAGCUCGUGGCGAGCGGAGGAGAGAUGGAAGAGCAGAGCCCAACUUCGGGAAAAGAUGAAGCGCACCCAGCGAGACCCCGUUCCAGCCCUCUCCUCCCGAAGCAGCCCAAGUGGUCUCAGAACAAUUUCCCAGCACUUCCAGCACGCACGCAGGGUGCCGCCGAGGGGGAGGGCUCAACCGCUGCCCGCUUCCCAUCAGAGAAGCCCUUCCUCCCCCAUCUGCACCAGGAGAGAAGUUCGCAGGGUGCGCGCCACAGCUGCGGGAUCCACAGCAAAUGCUGCGGUACGGCAAUGGCUCUCUUCAUGCUUGUAUGCCCGUCUGUGCCUGACACCCACAUCUUCACACGGGGCCAGGAGGGAGAGAGCUCACGAGGACGAAUAAAGGUGCUUGGAACGAGUGGAACUGCACCCAUCGGCCAGUGCGGGCUCGGAGAUCAUCUGCGUCUUCCCAUUUGGCCACUUUUUGUUUUUGCCACCAUUGAAAUGACAGUACUUAGGACGGCGAAAUGCGGAGAUGCAGUAAAGCUGCUUGUCUGAAUCCACUUUGAAGUAAUAAUGCUGUUGGUCUGAAAUCCAGAUCUGCCCGCUAAUCUCUGGUUUUGCCUUCAAACGGAAUUCAGAUACAAAGAGCUUGGAAAGAUUUUGCGUCUAUUCAAGAGGCACAAAAUCUUUAAUUUUCUGAGGAGCAAAAACUCCCCAAGAAACUUCAUAUAGCUCCUUGGGUUUUGCUUAGCAUACGUGAUAAAACAUUGAUUGUCGCAGUCUGGUGACCCAUGAAAUUUGGGGGUUAGUUUUCUCUUCAGACCAGAGCAUAUAAUUAUGCAAAUAAAGAGCUGUCACCGAUCUAGUGAAAUACUCACAAACACACGCAAUCCGAAAUGGAACAGAAAUGUGAAAAUUUGCGGCAUUACGAUGGUGCAAUGAUAAAUGACAUCUCCUC
rnacentral:lncRNA from 7 species